rnacentral:lncRNA from 1 species
GGAGUUCAAGAAUCAAUCUUUAAAAUAUAAAAGCUUGGUUGAUUGUGGUGAUAUGAUCAUACCCAUGUUGAUGCUUGUUUGUUUUGCUAUAUAAUAGUAUUGUGACUGUAUAUCUCAUGAAAGUUAUGUUGUUAGUUGAAAAACAUGAUCUUUAGAUGGAUUGAUAGAAUGCAAGUAUGAAAUCCACCUAUGCCUUAAAGAAUGCAUGCAAGGUGUUCGAUAAAAUGCCUAGUAUGUUAGAACUUCAUAUUUACAUGAUUUCAUGAUAUCUAAAUAACAAGUUCAUGUUAG